rnacentral:tRNA from 1 species
AAUUAUUUGGCCGAGGAUAGGCAGAUACUUUGAAAGUGUCCUACAGAGGUUUAAAUCCCCUAAUAAUUU